GACGAACCGUGCGAACGUUGUUCGGAAUCACUGGGCUUAAAGGGCGCGUAGGCGGGCAGUCAAGUCAAGGGUGAAAUCCUGCGGCUCAACCGUAGAAGAGCCCCUGAUACUGGCUGUCUCGAGGGAGGUAGGGGCGUGGAAUUCCGGGUGUAGUGGUGAAAUGCGUAGAGAUCCGGAGGAACCCCAGAGGCGAAGGCGGCGCCCUGGCUCGCAACUGACGCUCAGACACGAGAGCAUGGGGAGCGAGCGGG
rnacentral:rRNA from 1 species